CACGUAGGGUGCGAGCGUUGCCCGGAAUUAUUGGGCGUAAAGAGCUCGUAGGCGGUGUGUCGCGUCGGCCGUGAAAACCUGCAGCUUAACUGUGGGCGUGCGGUCGAUACGGGCAUCACUGGAGUUCGGCAGGGGAGACUGGAAUUCCUGGUGUAGCGGUGAAAUGCGCAGAUAUCAGGAGGAACACCGGUGGCGAAGGCGGGUCUCUGGGCCGAUACUGACGCUGAGGAGCGAAAGCGUGGGGAGCGAACAGG
rnacentral:rRNA from 1 species